rnacentral:tRNA from 1 species
GGGCGGAUAGCUCAGCGGAAGAGCAUGGCCCUUACAAGGCCGUGGUCGCAGGUUCGAAUCCUGCUCCGCCCA